rnacentral:rRNA from 1 species
AAUAGAGGUAGGUGGAAUUCCCGGUGUAGUGGUGAAAUGCGUAGAUAUCGGGAGGAACACCAGUGGCGAAAGCGACCUACUGGGUUGAUUCUGACGCUUAGGCCCGAAAGUGUGGGGAGCAAACAGGAUUAGAUACCCUGGUAGUCCACACUAUAAACAAUGGACACUAGAUAUGGGGAGUAUCGACCCUCUCCGUGUCGAAGCUAACGCGUUAAGUGUCCCGCCUGGGGAGUACGGCCGCAAGGCUAAAACUCAAAGGAAUUGACGGGGGCCCGCACAAGCAGCGGAGCGUGUGGUUUAAUUCGAUGCAAAACGAAGAACCUUACCAAGGCUUGACAUGCAAGAAGUAGUGAACCGAAAGGGAAUCCGACUGUUAAAUCAGUAGCUUGCACAGGUGCUACAUGGCUGUCGUCAGCUCGUGCCGUGAGGUGUUUGGUUAAGUCCUGCAACGAGCGCAACCCUUAUUGCUAGUUGUAUUUUCUAGCGAGACUGCCCCGCAAAACGGGGAGGAAGGUGGGGAUGACGUCAAGUCAGCACGGCCUUUAUGCCUUGGGCUACACACACGCUACAAUGGACGGUACAAUGGGUUGCAAUGGAGCGAUUCGGAGCUAAUCCUGAAAGCCGUCCUCAGUUCAGAUUGCAGGCUGAAACCCGCCUGCAUGAAGUAGGAGUUGCUAGUAAACGCGUAUCAGCAUGGCGCGUUGAAUACGUUCUCGGGCCUUGUACACACCGCCCGUCACGUCAUGAAAGUCGGCAACACCUGAAGUCGAUGGGCUAACUC